rnacentral:rRNA from 1 species
CACAAGCGGUGGAGUAUGUGGUUUAAUUCGAUGCAACGCGAGAACCUUACCUGGUCUUGACAUCCCGGAGACCCUUAGGAAACUAGGGGGUGCUUCCAUCUGGAAGAAUCUGGAGACAGGUGCUGCAUGGCUGUCGUCAGCUCGUGUCGUGAGAUGUUGGGUUAAGUCCCGCAACGAGCGCAACCCUUACCUUUAGUUGCCAGCAGUUCGGCUGGGCACUCUAAAGGGACUGCCGGUGUUAAACCGGAGGAAGGUGGGGAUGACGUCAAGUCCUCAUGGCCUUUAUGACCAGGGCUACACACGUACUACAAUGGCCGAUACAAAGGGCAGCGACACUGCGAGGUGAAGCCAAUCCCGUAAAAUCGGUCUCAGUCCGGAUUGGAGUCUGCAACUCGACUCCAUGAAGUUGGAAUCGCUAGUAAUCGUGGAUCAGCAUGCCACGGUGAAUACGUUCCCGGGCCUU